GAUGAACGCUGGCGGCGUGCCUAAUACAUGCAAGUCGAGCGGACGGACGAGAAGCUUGUGUCCUUGAUGUUAGCGGCGGACGGGCGAGUAACACGUGGAUAACCUACUUCUAAGACUGGGAUAACAUCGGGAAACCGGUGCUAAUAACGGCUCAUACUUUGAACCGCAGGGAUCAAAAGUGCAUGACGGUCUUGCUGUCUCUAAUAGAUGGUUCCGCGCUGCCUUAGGUAGUUGGUAAGGUAACGGCCUACCAAGGCAACGAUGCAUAGCCGACCUGAGAGGGUUGUCCGCCACACGUGAACUGGAGCACGGUCCCGACCCCCACGGGGGGCAGCCGGAGGGAAUUUUCGGCCAUGGGCGGAAAGCUGGCUGAGGAAAUCCGCGUGAGUGAAAGAGGUCUUCGGAUCUGAAAACUCUUUUAUUAGGGAAAAACAUGUGUGUAGUUAACUGUGCGCAUCUUGGCCGUACCUAAACAGAUAGGCACGGCUAACUACGUG
rnacentral:rRNA from 1 species